UCCCUGGUAGUAUAUCGGUUAGUACACGCGCCUGUCAUUUAUUAGACGCGCGAAAGCUGGGUUCGACUCCCAGCCAGGGAG